AAAACCUUUAAUUGCGUCCAGAGAGGCGGCGGAAGGUUCACGGAAAAAAAUUGGGUAGUAGUGUACCCAUCUUUUGUGGAACCCUGCCCUCUGGCAGGGUUUUCUUUAU
rfam:Streptococcus henryi strain A-4 genome assembly, contig: IE83DRAFT_scaffold00023.23